rnacentral:rRNA from 1 species
UACAGAGGGUGCGAGCGUUAAUCGGAAUUACUGGGCGUAAAGCGUGCGUAGACGGUCAUGUAAGUCGGAUGUGAAAGCCCCGGGCUCAACCUGGGAAUUGCAUUCGAGACUGCAUGGCUUGGGUGCGGAAGAGGGAAGCGGAAUUUCCGGUGUAGCGGUGAAAUGCGUAGAUAUCGGAAGGAACACCAGUGGCGAAGGCGGCGACCUGGGCCAAUAUUGACGCUGAGGUGCGAAAGCGUGGGGAGCAAACAGG